GCAGACACAUUCCAGCCAAUCAGCAGCAGACCCUCCCUCCCAGACCCUCCCACCUCCUGGACAGCAUCCAUUUUGAAGCUGCAUUCUUAGUGAGCUGUCCAGGAGGUGGGAGGGUCUGGGAGGGAGGGUCUGCUGCUGAUUGGCUGGAGGGUCUG